AGAGAUGGGCGGAAAAUUUGAAUAAUUAAUAAAAAUUCGGAAAAAAUUAGAAAAAAUCGGAAAAAAUUAGAAAAAAAUUGGUAAUGAAUCUGGGAUAGUGUAACCCCAUUUUAAUGUCAUAAUACGCAUCCAAGGUUAGAGGAAGAUGCGGUAAUUGACAACCUAAUUAGAAAAACGAAAGAACAAGGGAAAAGUGAGCAACAAUUCUGGAAUGGUGCAUUUUGAUGGUCUCUCUCCUUCACCUUGACGAGCGUGCAUGGACGAAAGAAUAGAUGACGUUUGCAGUUAACCCUCCACAUCAGAAAAAAUUCAGAGAAUUCAGUUGCUUUAUUAUCUCUAAGGAAACAUGUUUGAAGUGCAGCGUACUCUACUUUCCUUCUUGAAUCUCGAAACAUUUUUUCAAAGGUUGUACAGAACACAAGGAGUGCAUGUUCGGUUUGCCCUGAGCCCAACAGGUUACCUGCAUCUCGGAGGCCUCCGUACAGCUCUGUGCAACAUGAUGCAACUAUUCUUUGGCUCGAGAAAACCAAGGGUAUUCUAUUCUGCCCUUGGAAGACACGCACUAAACAGGAAUCAUACCAGAUGCUGCCGGUAACCUCCAAGAGGAUCCAUACUGGACUGAAAUCAUCCCCCACAAAGACUCGACAAGGGGAGGACCCGCAGGCUCCUACUUUCUAUCAAAGCGUCUCGAAUUAUACAACGAGCAGGUUCAAGAAGUUUUCCUCCAAAAUGGCUUGGCUUGACGCUGUUUUUAUUCAGACAAUGGACUGGGCCUCCUAGGACAAGAAUUGUUGAGGCUUAGGCAAACACCGAAGCAUGACAAUUGCAGACACCUGAGCAAAGAGGACCUGAUAAUUCGGGGUGAGGAGAAUCUCAUUACUUCAGAUCUAAAGUACGAGAAAGAUGUUUGGCUGUUGAUUCGACUCUAAGAGGAUAACUGGGUUCAUAAGAUCACCGAGUAUAUGUAUACAACAUAAUUGUAGGCGCCAUGGCGAAACGAGAGGGAUGCAGGCGAGGUGUUUUUGGAUAAUAUCAGUGUCUUUUAUCAUUUAUGAAUGAUGUAAGUAUGAUCAUUAUUUGGGUUUCAGUUUUUCAUUUUGUACACAGGGAUGCUCAAAUCAAAGAAAGAGACUGCGGCGAUGAGGUUGUACCGGAGGAAGAAUUACCACCUUUCCUUUAACUCGAAGAUUGGAUUCGCAAAAUCCUGAGCGGAGGAUGAUCAACCGAUUUCUGUGUACUAUUUAUCCGGUAUCAUCCAUACCUGGUGGAAAAAGUCUGGUUAGAGCAUUGCUUUAUCGAAUGUAGGACUGAGUGAUGUCUUGAUCGUUCGGCAGAGGAGUAGAAUGAAUGCGUGCACAUGAUGAGGCACCAGAUCUAGGAAUACCUCCUCGGGUUUCCUGUUCUGCUGAUAGAAAAUCAAAUUUUUGGCCUGAAUUUCAAACUUCAGGGCCGCCUUUCUGGAUUAUUAUUUCUGUUCAGAGAAAAAGGUCCUGUCAUUCAUAUCCUGCAUCGAGAGGGAUGAAUAUAUAUAAUCCAGGAUGUCCUUGGGUCGUUCUCUGCCCAUUUCUGCAUGCGAAUCCAUCUAGUCGAUUAGUUAGUCCAUCAUUCGACAUGAAGAUAUUUCCAGUGUUUCUAAUUGAAAUGGUUUUCCAGAAAAGCAAAGAAAUUGCAAGACCUCCACAGUUUGCAGUCGUUAUUCGAGUUUGUAAUCAGAUCUUGGCUUCCUAGACUGAAAUAUAAAGAUUCACUGCAUUGUCAUUAUUCUUUAUCCUUUCCCCUAUUUUUCCUGAAUCAUUUUCAAUAUUUCUAUGGAUUUCCAAUCAAUUAAUAGACGUCCGCUAUCCCCUGUCAGUACCCGAUAAUCCGCAGGUGGAGCGACACAACCUCCAGUUUAUUUCUCGAGCCUUUUCAAAGUCGUUUUCUAAUUUCUUCGAUUUUUUAAUUAAAUAUUCAAUCUUGUCCAGCCCUUCAAGGCUUGUGAUGAUAUGCGCACCCGCAUUAUACGCAAAAUCUUCACUGUAAGGCGGGUCACCCGAAGUCAAGGGGCAAGAAACUUGGAAAAAUAGUUUGCCUAAAUUCCGCGGAAGAGAAUUUCGACUAAUGGCGCUACUUGUCACUUUUUUGGCGGGGAAGAUGUGCUACUUGAAUGAUCAAUUGAAAAACGGAAAAUGAAUCGGGAAAAACCGGAAAUAAUAAAGAAAAUAUUGGAAAUAAAUUUGGGAUGGUGAAGCUGGCUUGCUCUUCUGCAUUU